UUCCAUGUACAUGUAAAUAUAAUGUCGUUUAAAACGCAUUUUGUAGCCCAAUUGGGCACAUUCCAGUCCGUGAUGUCCCUUUUAUAUAAGCCGGUGUGUUUCUCUCAGGGGAAGUUUCAUGAACUUUGGGUCGGAGCAGCAUGACAGACCAGGUUCGCUCAUCUGGAAGUUUGACAGUAGAAUCCCUGUUCAUCUUUGGUGACUGCUAGCUCCAGUUGCUCAUGCAUUGACAUUUUGUAUAUUGUUGAGUUGCUAGAUGAAAAGAAAUUGAAGGACUCUUUGGAGGAAUUCUCCAACCCAUAUUGACGCUUUCUCUGGAUCUUUGAUAAGCGGAGUCAUUCAGCACUGCAUUUGGCACCCCCGGACCUGAAGCAAUUUUCUGUAGGUCUCUCUCAAAGAUGGCUAUCUAAGUAGGAGAACUCCAACUGCGUAUUUUAUGCAAUAAAGCACUCAUUGUGCAGUGUUAAAAAUGUUCCAAACACGCGUGCUUGUUGCUCGAAACGUGUUCAAAAUAUGACACAGCCAAUGCGCGUAAUGCAAGUUGACGCUCAAAAUGAUGAUGCACGUGGCUGGUCUGUAGUAAAUGACGUCAUUUGAGAGAGACCUAUACAAGGAUUAUAGCCUGAAAUUAAUGUUAUUGUAGAACUCUCAUUAUACUACAAGAGAGCCAAUUUAUUGAACUCCCCUCAUAAGUACGUGUCAGAGGUUUGGAAUCUCAGUUGCUUUUAAUGUGUAAAGAAAAUAAUAUUUCCCACUUUAACAGAGCUAAAGAUUCAAUGAAGAUUUUCAGUGAAAGUGUUGACUGUUGACACAUUUGCUUUGAAAAAAAUUAGGCUACGUACUGGUACUAAAUAAAAAUCUAUCCGACUUAUUCUUAGCCAUCAGAGAGAUAAGAAUUUUAAAGAAUGUAUCAUUUCUUUGUAUCCAAAUGUGUGGCUAAUUAAUGAGUUUUAUUCAAAGUCAGACAUGAAUGCUUUACUUUGCAAUAACACAACUUUUGUUUUUGUGCUGCCAUUCUAGGUGUUCCUGAAGAGAAAGUAAGUGCUCCUUUCCCAGAAAACGAUUCAAUCAGAACUCCAACCAAGAGAAAGAUGACAGAGGGAGAAAAAAUAACAUUCGCAAAAGAGGAGCAUAAGCAGCACACUCAUAUACAAAAUAUUGUAUAGUACUUAUGAAACCAAGACAAAAUGCCAUGGGUGAAAACAAUGUAAUUUUAACAGGUAAGUUGUCCUGGCUUGACAAAGAGCGUCUGGAAGAGUUUUGGUUGCAUCCAUCUCGGCUGCGUCCGCCCAAUGAGGAGGAUGAUCCAUGUGCUCGUGUUCGAUGUGUGUUGUGCGUUUACCAGUUGCGUAUCCAGUAAGCAUACUCUGUAAAUAAAUGUGUGCAUAUUUAUUUCUCUGGACACUUGACGGACAUAGAGAGCACACAGCAGUUUUAGGAGUAGAAAAAAAAUCAAGUCGCAAUCAAAUUUGGAUUAAUUUAGGCGCAUAGUACACAUUUUACGAAAUAAACAUUUGCAACGUGCUUGCCAAAACCUCCGAAGCAUGCAUUUAUUACCUAAUAAUAUAAAAUUGAUUUUCACGCAACACAGUGCGCGCUGCGCCUUUACACAUGCCGCUUUAAUUUUCGGCCUAAUUAUGGUUUAUGGCUAGUUUUUACAAUACAGUUCACCACCAAGAGCUUGCCCGGCAAAGACCAUUUUUACAGUGCAUCCCAGGAAGUAUGACUACCUGCACAAUUGACAUAGUAUUGUUUAGUCCAGUCAUCCCCCCCCCCCAAAAAAACAAAAAAAUUAAAGGUGUCAUGACCUUUAAUUUUCAGUUGCUUUAUCUUUACUGCAUUUCGUCGUUCGUAUGAUUCUUCCGUAGCAAAAUCACACGGGAAUGUCCAAUUCUUGCAGCCACUUUGGCUGUUUCUUCAUCAAGCUCGAUUGAUCAGACCGGUGGGACCAUGAGGGGGCUUGAAGAUUGGGCAGGCUUGCAGAAUAUGUUCCAUUGUCUGUGGUAACCCACAAGGGCAGCUGUCGUCAUCACAAGCCCCAAUUCGGUGGAGGAAGGAGCGAGUCUUUCCCCACCCUGUGCGGAUGCGGUUCAGCCUUACCCAGACUUGCGCUCGAGGUGGAGCCCUACAGGCUUGGCUGAAGGCUCUUUGAUGAACUCAUGCAGUGUGGUGUUAGCCCUCUACCAUUUAUCCUUCCAUCUCUCAUUCAUCCUUCCAUCUCUCAUUCAUCCAGAAGGGGGAUAGUGGGACUCUGCUGCUGAGAUCUUUGGCACAGAUAGCAAAGUGUCGAGGCGGGGCAAUCAUCGGCAAUAAUUGGCACCAGGCUACUCAGUAUGUCAGCUUUCUCUGCUGCUUUGAGGACGAGAUGGUCACGCCGGAUAUGUGUGAGGAUACAUGCAGUGAUCGGCAGCAUAACUGUGGGUGUAGGUGUCAUGCAGUCUGAGAUGAGGCGCAGGGCGUCAUUGAUCACAGCGUCAAUCCUUUUGGUGUGGCAGCUAUGAGACCAGGCUGGAGAGCAGCGUACUCUGCUGUGGAAUACACCCAGGGCAGUAGAUGAGGUGCAAAGCGUUGUGAAAUCAGCACCCCAGUUGGUGCCAGCAAGCUUCUUUGACCCGCUUCGAUGUCUUUUCAGCUACCUUUUUUAGGUGUGGGCCGAAGGUGAGGCUUCGAUCAAGCGAGACCCCUAGGUAGACUGGCUCAGGGUCAAACUUCAGUUUCGUGCCAUUCAGUGUGACGGUCAGCUUCUUCCUCGCUAGUCUGAUGGCAAGCUGAGCAGACAGUUUUUGAUUCACUCUGUUUCUGGUGCCAUUGUUGGAAGUAGCCACAUUAGGGCUGCGAGGUCCGUGUUGAGGGUGCGUUGGAUUGCCUAAAAUGACUUGUCGGGAUAGCCAAGGGCACUAUCAUCCGCAUAGAUAUACUGAUCAGAUACAGUACGCGGAAAGUCGGCUGUGUAGGUAUUGAACAGUAUGGGUGUCCAGACAGAGCCGUGCGCAAGCCAUCUCGGAGCCGACGCCUCCUACUCCGGUCACCACUAGAUGUUUCCACAAAGAAGGAGCGAUUCUGAUCAUAAUGAUCAUGAUGAACUUGACAUGAGUAGCUUGAUGUCGAGGCCACGGUGCCAUACGGUGUUGUACGCGGCUGUGAGGUCGACGAAUAUAGCCCCAAACUGUUAUUUCCUCUGGAAUGCGGCUUCAAUGUCGUUGACGAGGCGCAGUAACUGGUCUGUGGUGGAUCUACCUUUGCGGAAACCAGCCUGAGCAUGUGGUAGAUGAAGUUCAACAAUGCUACUGAUGCGGGCUAGCAAUCCUUUCCAACAGUUUAAAGGCAUGCAAAGGAGUGAGAUAAGGGCGGUAGCUUUUUGGAUCACAGCAGGUUUCUUUGGUUUUAAGAUAGCAGUGACUUUAGCCUGCCGCCAUAUAGCAGGGAUGGAUAAGAACACACGAAGCCACUCGGUCGCCUGCGGACCCAUGUUGGUCAGAAUCUCUGAGUGUACCAUGCUUUGCCAUUCUUCAAGCAGGAGAUUGCGUCGAGGAGCUGCUUCGUUGCGAUAGGCCCAGAUAGUCCGCUGGUGGCUAGUUGGUUCUUGAUGGAUUCCCUUAUCUCUGCAUUCACUUUGUGGUUGUGAGCUUUCGCCUCCUUGCCAUGGUCUUUCCACUUCUCAAUGUUUCACUAGUGUGGUCGCGAUGGAGUUAGCAGAGACAGGGCAAGGCUUUGCUUUACUGCUACGUCCGGUAAGGCGGUUGAUGGUAGCCCAGCCCUUGCGGCUAGAGUGGUUGAAAUCAAUGUUGUUUAUAAAUUUCUGUCCACCUCUCAGGUUUUUUUUCUCGCCGAGGACAUUUAUGAGCAACCUGCUCUAUUCGGCCUUCUCACUCGCUCUGGCAUCAUUUGUUAUCUUUCAGGGCUGCGUUGCAUUCGGCAUCCCAGCAUGGGAUCGUAUUGGCCACGCCUGCCACGAGGGAUGGAUGACUUUGCGGCGACGGAGAGCAUUGUGGUGAAUGCCGUGUAUGCCUCGGAUGAGUUCCCUGUUGGACUGGGGAGGUCUUGGGAGAGGGAGCCAGUGAGGUGACGCAAACUUGGUCCAGUCUGCCUUUCUGAAGUUCCACCUCUUCUUGUUGAGGCUUGUGAUCUGUUGUUGCCAAUUAUGAUGGGGCAGUGACCAGAACGGGGGGAACCUGUUGAGGACUAUGCGUGCACAGUUUGGUGUGAUAUCAGAGGAUACAAAGCUCAAGUCUGGGUUGGACCACUUCUUGUGUCGACUGGAAAAGAAUGUGGGGUUAUCUUUUGCAUCGUAGAGCAGGUGAAGGUCUUGUGUCUCAGCCCAACGAGCAACGGCUUUCUCAUCCAGGUUUUAUGCCAGGGUAACCUCAAUUUGUGUGACGGCUAUUGAAAAUCUCCGCAUACGAUGGAGGGGGCUGUUGCUGUUGGCAGGUUUCGUUGGCUGACUGUCACAGGUGGGGGUUUGCAAGGGUUUGCUAUCUUAUAAUCUAUAUAAUUAUCAGAGCGAGAGUGCUGACUUUGAUGUACAGAGCAAUAUCUGCUAGGCGCAUACAUAUUUGUACUCGAACCUAUGGAAAACUCACAAAUUUUGUUCGGCUUUUGUUCAGCUAUAGAAAGGCUUGUGUACGGCUAUUUGCAUAUUAUGUUUGUGUUCCUGCGUGGUAUUGAUGAUGCCGAUACGCUCAAAAACGAAAUGCACAAUCAGGAAAGGAGCGUUUCAUAUUGCUCUGCAUAACGACGCAAAUGCUGUUUGUUUGUUUUUUACCUUUAUGGCGUGUAAGUUGUUAACGUUUGUUGUUUUUACGCAUCGCAUUUGAGUACACAUUCACAAUUCACUCCAUCAAACUUAAUUGUGUUCUAAAAACACACACGCGUACAGGAAGGAUUCAACGUAUCUCUUAGGCUCGACUCAAAGUCGGAACUGCUUUAUGUUGGUAUCUGAAAACAUGUACAAACAAAAUAAUAAAAUAAUCACAAAACCACUUAGUUUACAUCCUUCCAGAAGCGGGACAAUUAAGUUACACUUAAAUAUGCGUUCAACUUUCAAUGCAAUCUAACAUUGCGCGAACACACACGUGUAUAAUGAGUGCAGAGUCUUUGCAUACAUGUGAUUCAAAAUUUACCAACUCGCAUGAAAAUAAUUUGUAUGGGCACUUUUUAACGUUUUGAUCCAGAUUCAAAGCAUGAGGGCUUGUGUGGACCGUCUGCGCUAAACGUGCUUUUAUGCACAGACCGAGUGCAAUUCAAGACUUGGGCCAUAUCUACAUAUCUCCGUGUGUAAGAAUGAGUUUAGCGCUCUAGUGAAUAAAUAUAUCUCCAUAGCUCUAUGGUAUUAAAUAAAGCUUCAUGUAUUCAAUAUAGCCCUGUGGUAUGUAAUAUAGCUCUAUGAUAAUUAAUAUAGUUCUGUGUGUAUUCUUUCGGAUUGUCCCUUUUUUUUCCACAUUCAAAUAAUUUAUGUGCUUUUACCCAAGAAAAUGCAUUUGUUGGUUAAAAUCCUCAGUUAUUAUUUCCAAAAGCAUGUGGCCAUACCGGCGAUUCCCAAAUACAGUGUGCAACCUAGACGAAGCCGCGGAGAGUCCACUCUUUCACAAUGCAUUGUGGUACAAAUAUAAGAUCCUGAUCUUUAUUUGUGUACAGGUUGGUUUUUUCCCCCAUGGGGACCGAGUUGACUCGGACUGAGUGGUUCGGUACAGAGUUGACUGGUUCUUUGCUUUAUAAUGAGUGCGUUUGAUUACUUCCCCAAGCUUACUCGCGCUUGGCUCAUCGCGGGAUGACAGAUAGCGCAGUGGAGCUAACUAAACGAACGGUUUCGGGUAACGUUUCGUGCAAGAAGAGCUGGAAAGUUUAACUUUGACAUGACACACCAGCAUCCGAAUCAACUAUCUAGAGCUAGGUCUAGGGUCCACGCCCAUUGAAUACGGGGACCAUGCUGACAAUAUGAGACCCGGAGCCGUAGCUCUUGAAGCCCGUUUCGGACACGGCCUCAGGGCGCCUGGGACCGCCGGACGUCACGUUGGCAGCCAUGUUUAUUGCUUGGCCUUAUGGGAGGGAUACUUACCCAAGUAACAGGCUCGGCGAGUCGGUUACUUGGCCCAGGCUCGAUUUAAGCACGAGAAGUCCCGGACGUGAGAGUAAAUCGAACGCUGUCGCACUUGCAUGAGUAAGCGUGGGGGAAGUAAUCAAACGCACUCGUUGGGACUAAUGUUAGCAGAGAACUCGAUUAGAGUAGAGAGUUGACCUGCACCCUUUUAUUUCUCAACCGUAAACUUCAAAACUUGACUCUCCAAAGCAACUUCUUGGUAUUGGCACUGUACUGGAGAUCGCCCGUGUUGGAUAACUCAGUUGCUAGUACACUGGGAAUCGAUCCUUAUUAAAAUAAGGAUCGGUUUCAAUUUAUGUUGUGCCUGUUGCGGUACUCGACCUCUAUUUGUUCCCUAAUGGCUUGUCCUUUUGCUGAUCCGGCUCCUUCAAUGUGACGCUCACAAUCUGGUUCAAUGUUGUCCAUGGGUUCCUCAGGCAUCAAUCCACGCAACAUCUCCAGAAUUCGUCGCUUCAUCGACCAGGAAAGCUGUACUCGUGCUAUGAGGGCCUUGAUUCUGUCUAGACUAGACUAUGCCAACUCUCUUUUGGCCGGUUGCAGCAGCUCUGACAUCUCAAGACUGCAGCGUCUACAGAACAGGGCUGCCUCGUACAAGUUCCUCGUCGACAUCCCUGUACUCCACUAUUGCGAUCUCUUCACUGGCUUCCGAUCGGACAACGCAUUAUUUUCAAAAUCCUGUUAUAUGGUAUAAAAGUCAAUCCACGGUCUCACUCCCAUAUACCUCUCGAACAGCAUUUCAUCCUACAAACCUUCACGACCCGGAUUACGCUCUGCCACAGACACAACCCGGGCUCGUAGUGCCUAGGGGCCAAAGGAUGGUUGCGGAGAGGUCAUUCUCUAUCUGUUCCCCUAGAUUGUGGAAUGAUCUCCCAUCAACCAUCAGACUGGCUCCUAUCCCAUAAACAUUCAGAAGCCUCCUCAAAACGCACCUGUUUGCCUGAUCUCUUUUGUGAUUUACUCUUUCAAUGUAUCUGUUUAUUUUUCUUUGUUUUUGUUUGUAAAGCGCUUUGAUCGUUAAUUUGGAACUGCGCUAAUAUAAGCACCGGUAUUAUUAUUAUUAUUAUUAUUAUUAUCCUCGAGAUGUGAUUUAUGUGCUUGCAUGGUUAUUCACUGAUAACAUUUUGUGAUCAGAAAAGAUUAAAAUAAUGUCUGAAGCCCGUUAAAGUGUGUGAGCUGUCAAUUUUCAAAUAAUUUAGUAUUUGAUUAUUUGUAACUGUUAGUUGCUAGUCAGGCUAUUUGUAACCGUUAGUUGCUAGAUGGGUCUCCUUAUACAACUAGGUCCUCCCUGUACUGAGACCUACUGUUCCACUUCAGUCGGCACCAAGCUUGCUCUAGGAUCCCAGCUACUUCGCAUCCACACAGGAUGCAACUUCACACUUCAUCGAUUUCGCUUUUGCUACUUAAGUAUUUACUUUCUUUAGAGUUUAAGGCACUCUCCUUAAGACGGUCAGAGCAUACUGACCAGAACGUCGAGUUUAUACCUCUGGUUCUUUUCCGAACCAUUCUCUUGGUUGAGAAAUUAUUCGCACAUGGUGUUUCCGCAAACCUUGCUUUAUUUAGUAUCUCCACCAUGCAAAGCCUCAAAUCUUACUAGUCAGGUUUUACACACGCCAAGCUGAAUCCGCCUUCCUCGAUGGUAAAAUGACGCCAUUUACUAUUAAUUGUCGGCAUGACACAAAGUGUCGAAGUAUGAAGUUGUACAAUUAAUAUUGAAAACGUGAUAUUUACCUGCUUCCAAGUAGAUAGAGAGACUCUCCGCCAAAUCUGGCUGUCGUGUUCCGACAGUCUUAUCACGAGAGCAAGAAAUCUCUUUCUGUGGUCACAAUGCCACUUUCAAGGUCUUAACCUGAAUUUGGGGUGGGGUUUUUUUUUCUCCAAAAAUGUGACAAAAUAAAAACUGCUGGAUUCAGUCUGAAACAUCAAGAAAACACAUCUGUGGAAAAGGAAAGGGUAGUUUACAGGUUUUUUAUGCCCCGCCGGCGGAGCCGAAGGGGCAUACUGUU
rnacentral:lncRNA from 1 species